AGAUUGAACGCUGGCGGCAGGCCUAACACAUGCAAGUCGAGCGGCAGCACGGGUACUUGUACCUGGUGGCGAGCGGCGGACGGGUGAGUAAUGCCUAGGAAUCUGCCUGGUAGUGGGGGAUAACGCUCGGAAACGGACGCUAAUACCGCAUACGUCCUACGGGAGAAAGCAGGGGACCUUCGGGCCUUGCGCUAUCAGAUGAGCCUAGGUCGGAUUAGCUAGUUGGUGAGGUAAUGGCUCACCAAGGCGACGAUCCGUAACUGGUCUGAGAGGAUGAUCAGUCACACUGGAACUGAGACACGGUCCAGACUCCUACGGGAGCAGCAGGUGGGGAAUA
rnacentral:rRNA from 1 species